rnacentral:lncRNA from 1 species
AGUUUACAAGCACUGAGAAAGGAGAAAUCCCGAGAUGCUGCUCGCUCCCGCCGGGGGAAGGAAAAUUUUGAGUUCUAUGAAUUGGCCAAGUUGUUGCCUCUUCCUGCAGCCAUCACCAGCCAGCUUGACAAGGCGUCCAUCAUUCGACUGACAAUUAGCUAUCUGAAAAUGAGGGACUUUGCUAAUCAGGGGGACCCUCCGUGGAACUUGCGAAUGGAAGGCCCUCCACCCAACACAUCAGUAAAAGGUAAGUUUUAGGUCACAGUUCAGUAUGGC